UCUCUGACCCAGCUGCAGUUUGUUAGGUUAGGCUGCGAAGGAAAGGCAAUUCAUAUGCAAAGGCCGAUGCACACAGCUUGGAUGGGGUUGUAAAUUGGGUGGGGUGGGGUCUCAGGGAGUCACCAGGGCAGAGCAAAUAGUGAUGGCUGUCAGUCAGCUCUGAGAACAGGAGGCC